rnacentral:rRNA from 1 species
GCUCAGAUUGAACGCUGGCGGCAGGCUUAACACAUGCAAGUCGAGCGGGGGAGGUUGCUUCGGUAAUUGACCUAGCGGCGGACGGGUGAGUAAUACUUAGGAAUCUGCCUAUUAAUGGGGGACAACAUCUCGAAAGGGAUGCUAAUACCGCAUACGCCCUACGGGGGAAAGCAGGGGAUCACUUGUGACCUUGCGUUAAUAGAUGAGCCUAAGUCGGAUUAGCUAGUUGGUGGGGUAAAGGCCUACCAAGGCGACGAUCUGUAGCGGGUCUGAGAGGAUGAUCCGCCACACUGGGACUGAGACACGGCCCAGACUCCUACGGGAGGCAGCAGUGGGGAAUAUUGGACAAUGGGGGGAACCCUGAUCCAGCCAUGCCGCGUGUGUGAAGAAGGCCUUAUGGUUGUAAAGCACUUUAAGCGAGGAGGAGGCUCCUGUAGUUAAUACCUACAGAGAGUGGACGU